rnacentral:rRNA from 1 species
AUUCCAGCUCCAAUAGCGUAUAUUAAUGUUGUUGCAGUUAAAAAGCUCGUAGUUGGAUUUCUGGUGGGAGCGGCCGGUCCGCCGUAAGGUGUGUACUUGGUUGUCUCCUGUCAUCCUUGUGGGAACUGCUCUGGCAUUAAGUUGUCGGGGUUAGGGAACACAUCGUUUACUGUGAAAAAAUUAGAGUGUUUAAAGCAGGCUUAUGCCGUUGAAUACAUUAGCAUGGAAUAAUAAGAUAGGACUUUGGCGUCUAUUUUGUUGGUUUGCACACCAAGGUAAUGAUUAAUAGGGAUAGUUGGGGGUGCUAGUAUUUUGCGGCCAGAGGUGAAAUUCUGUGAUUCGCGAAAGACUAACUUAUGCGAAAGCAUUCACCAAGGAUGCCUUCAUUA